rnacentral:tRNA from 1 species
GAAGGUGUAGCUCAAGGGGUAGAGCAUGUGCUUAGCAUGCACGGGGUUCUGGGUUCAAGACCCAGUCCCUCCA